UACACUCCUGCGGGAGGCAGCAGUGGGGAAUAUUGGACAAUGGGCGCAAGCCUGAUCCAGCCAUGCCGCGUGAGUGAUGAAGGCCCUAGGGUUGUAAAGCUCUUUCACCGGUGAAGAUAAUGACGGUAACCGGAGAAGAAGCCCCGGCUAAAUUCGUGCCAGCAGACGCGGUAAUACGAAGGGGGCUAGCGUUGUUCGGAUUUACUGGGCGUAAAGCGCACGUAGGCGGACUAUUAAGUCAGGGGUGAAAUCCCGGGGCUCAACCCCGGAACUGCCUUUGAUACUGGUAGUCUUGAGUUCGAGAGAGGUGAGUGGAAUUCCGAGUGUAGAGGUGAAAUUCGUAGAUAUUCGGAGGAACACCAGUGGCGAAGGCGGCUCACUGGCUCGAUACUGACGCUGAGGUGCGAAAGCGUGGGGAGCAAACAGGAUUAGAAACCCUAGUAGUCCC
rnacentral:rRNA from 1 species